ensembl:lncRNA
CACGAAUUCUCCAUUCAGCCCACUGCACGCAUUCUCCUUCAUCUUCUGCAAGACACAAAUGCAAACAUAAGAAAUGAAUGUGCGAAAUCAUAACACUUAGAUUUAUCUGCCAGUUUACGUCUACCCGCCUGUCCAAACAGUGGCGGUUGUCAUAUUAAAUCUAGGCACUAAGGCCACAUACAGCUGAUGCUCAUGAAGUAAGGCAGAUAAGAAACUGAUAACUACUGAUUUCUCCUUUCCUGGCACAGUCCUUAACAUAUGUAAUGAGGCUAAAAACUUAUAACAUUACAUAACUGACGACCAGUCUAAUGACCGUGAAAUUUGCAGGCAGUAUCGUAUGAUGUAUGCACAAGCUAAUAUGCUUAUCGGAAAAUUUGGUAUGUGUUCAUCUUCUGUGAAAAUAACACUUGCUGCUUCUUGCUACAAAAGAAGCGGCAUUCAAUUAUGGUAUGAGGCUACAACUCAAAGUGCCUAGAUGGAGUAGCACAAGCCUUCCGUUUGUGAAUGUUGAUGUGCCAACUUGUCCUGCUGUUCUCAGAAACCUUAUGCAUAGAUGUAUGUGUAGACUACUGUGUCUUGCAACAAGUAAGGGAUAAUGGACCACGUUAGACUAUCAAAAGUUAAUACACGCUCUAGAUGAUAAUGCGGCCCCAAAGCGGAGGGCCGAUCCAAUGUGUUCAAUGCGCCCUCUGGAGGCGCCCUUAAUUAAUUAAAAUAUACGAAACAAGCGAAAUUAAACCAAACGUGUUCCAAAAUGGAACAGAGAAGGGAGGGGGCCGGGGAUUAAAGUUAGGGCGCACUGAAACCCUCACCGUAGUACGCAGGACAAUGCGACAAAGCCAUCUAUCCCACUCUAUAGAAAAUAUCGAGAUAUAUCGCCAUUCAGCCAAAAAAUAUCGGGAUAUCAUAUUUUGCCCAUAUCGUGCAGCCCUAAUCUGAAUACAGACGUCGCAAAACCUCUACAUCCAGCUCUCCAACAAGAAGUUGACAACGAAGACCUUGCGGAUGGCACAAGCAGGCGAUUUGUUCACUGAUGCAUUUUCAAUGCAAAAACCCUGACAACCAAUUGGAAUACAGACGCUGCAAACCCUCUCCAUCCAGCUCUCCGAGAAGCAGUUGACAACAACGGAGACCCUACAGAUAACACAAGCCCGUGAUUGUUUCACUUGCUCCAAAUUAAACGACCAUUCAAAGCUCACGGCAGAAAAGGCCAAAGUCACGCUACCUGCAGGAGCCAGCUGGAAGAGUCCAGACCACUACGGGCCCGCCGCAACACUUUUUUGAAGGUGUGGACACUGAUGACGAGGCACCACCCCCCCCAAGAAAAACAGCACGACAAUCUGUAGAUGUAGGGCCAGACAUCAGUAGUGAGUGGCUAUUUGGGCCAUCGACCACCCAAAGAGCUCAAUCAAAUGGCAGCCAGAGACUUGAGCUACUACAUAUAGAUAGUCCAACCAAGCCACCAGCUAUUGCAUGAUAUGGGAAUAUCUAAAGUCGUGGAGCUGCUUUCCAAAGUGCUGGAAGAAAAUAAAUUGAUGAAAGCAGAAAUUACCAACCUGGGGAGUGAAGUGAGGGCGCUUAGGAGAGAGAUGGUGAGGCCGGUAGCACCAGAAGCUGCCGCUUCGUCCAUCAAGCUGCCUCUGAGGACAAUGGAGGAGUUUCAAUUAGCAGAGGCUGUUAUGAGAGAAACCCCCUGCGAAAAACAAAAGAUGAUCUUAACAUUCAGUCUAAUUGGAGGGCACACUGCAGAAGAGGCCGUAAGAAGGAUGUUGCAGAGUGGCCUAACAAAUAACCUGGCGUGUCGCUUCAACUGGGCAGGGAAAGGCUUCAAGGAAGCCUUUAAAAGCACUGUCCUUAGUGAUGUACUGUUCGCUGCACUACAAAAACAGCUGCCAGGGACCACCCAUAUUGUUUUUUCAGGGACACUGAAGAAGUGGCUUAAAUAUGCACCGGAGAGAGAGGGAGGUGGAGGGAGGCGAACAAAUGAACGCGAUCAGGCGCCGCAGGAUCCUCGACCAUGAAUGAAUGUGUGUGUGUAAAUAAUAAUUAUAUUCGUUAGAAUAAUAGGGUUAUUUGGGGUUGGGUUGUUCGUGUUCGGUUAUCACGUUGUAUUGUUCAUUAUUGUCGCCAUCGUUGUUGUGUCAUGUUUGUUUGUUGGGUGCUCUAUGUGAGAGGAUUUUAAUAAAAGUAGUCUGCGUC